rnacentral:rRNA from 1 species
GUCUAUUAGGAUGAUGUUAAUAGUCUAGCCUGCUCAAUGAUAUACAUUAUUAAAUAGCCGCGGUAUCUUGACCGUGCAAAGGUAGCAUAAUCAUUAGUUCUUUAAUUGGGAACUCGUAGGAAUGGUUGGACAAAGAAAGGUCUGUCUCUUUAGUUAAAAUUGAAAUUAACUUCUAAGUGAAAAGGCUUAGAUCCUCUAAAGGGACGAUAAGACCCUAUAAAGCUUUAUAGAUUGUGAAAAUCUUACGGAUAUUAUUUGCAUAAGAAAGAUUUUUAAAGUCUAUUGGGUUGGGGCGACAAAGGUAUAAAUAAAAUAACUGCUAAAUAAUAUUACAGCAAUAAUUGAUUAAAAAUUAGUUGAUCCUUAUUAUGGAUUUAGAGAUCAAGUUACUUUAGGGAUAACAGCGUUAUUUUUCCAGAGAGCCCUUAUCAAAGGAAAAGUUUGCGACCUCGAUGUUGAAUUAAAAUGUCUUUAUAGAGCAGCAUCUAUAAAAGAAGGUCUGUUCGACCUUUAAUUUUUUACAUGAUUUGAGUUCAGACCGGUGAGAGCCAGGUCGGUUUCUAUCUUUUAGGGAGUAAAGGAUUGUUUUAGUACGAAAGGAUUAAGCAAUCAAAAAUCUUUUAAAUAAUUGAAAU